GACAGAGGAUGCAAGCGUUAUCCGGAAUGAUUGGGCGUAAAGCGUCUGUAGGUGGCUUUUCAAGUCCGCCGUCAAAUCCCAGGGCUCAACCCUGGACAGGCGGUGGAAACUACCAAGCUGGAGUACGGUAGGGGCAGAGGGAAUUUCCAGUGGAGCGGUGAAAUGCAUUGAGAUCGGAAAGAACACCAAUGACGAAAGCACUCUGCUAGGCCGACACUGACACUAAGAGACGAAAGCUAGGGGAGCAAAUGGG
rnacentral:rRNA from 1 species